AUUGAACGCUGGCGGCAGGCCUAACACAUGCAAGUCGAACGCGUGGCGGACGGGUGAGUAAUGUCUGGGAAACUGCCUGAUGGAGGGGGAUAACUACUGGAAACGGUAGCUAAUACCGCAUACCAUCGGAUGUGCCCAGAUGGGAGUAGCUAGUAGGUGGGGUAAAGGCUCACCUAGGCGACGAUCCCUAGCUUGUCUGAGAGGAUGACCAGCAACACUGGAACGGAGACACGGUCCAGACUCCUACGGGAGGCAGCAGUGGGGAAGAUUGCACAAUGGGCGCAAGCCUGAUGCAGCCAUGCCGCGUGUAUGAAGAAGGCUGUCGGGUUGUAAAGUACUUUCAGCGGGGAGGCGUUACCCGCAGAAGAAGCACCGGCUAACUCCGUGCCAGCCGCCGCGGUAAUAC
rnacentral:rRNA from 1 species